AGGGGUGUAGCUUAGUGGGAGAGAAUCUGCUUUGCAUGCAGAAGGUCCUAGGUCUGAUCCCUGACAUCUCUA